GAAGAGCGGAGCCGGUGCCGCAGACGUCACCACUGUCAAGUGGAAACACUUUCUGGCAAUGCAAGCAAUAAUGGAGCCAAUUUCAGAAGAGCCAAUGCUCUAUUCAAGCCUUGACUUCCUUCCUGAAGAAAAUCUCCAGGACCAAGAUGAGGUGCCGGGAACUUCUGGCUCCUCAGUUCCGUCAAGUCGUUCAGCAACACCAGCAGCUGCAGCAACUGAAAG